rnacentral:misc_RNA from 1 species
GAUGAAGAACGUAGCGAAAUGCGAUAAGUAGUGUGAAUUGCAGACUUUAGUGAAUCAUCGAAUCUUUGAACGCACAUUGCGCCCCUUGGUAUUCCAUUGGGCAUGCCUGUUCGAGCGUCAUUUACACCCUCAAGCCUAGCUUGGUGUUGGGCGUUGUCCGCAAGGACUCGCCUCAAAUUCAUUGGCAGCGGCAUCGUCAGCUUCUCGCGCAGCACAUUGCGCUUCAGAAGGCUUCUGGCGGGCUCGCGUCCACUAAGAUACCACCCAGUUUGACCUCGAAUCAGGUAGGGAUACCCGCUGAACUUAAGCAUAUCAAAAGCAGAGGA